UACAGAGGGUGCGAGCGUUGUCCGGAAUCACUGGGCGUAAAGGGCGUGUAGGCGGGAAGGAUAGUCAGAUGUGAAAUCCCUGGGCUCAACCCAGGAACUGCAUUUGAAACUCCCUUUCUUGAGUGCUGGAGAGGAAGGCGGAAUUCCCCAGUGUAGAGGUGAAAUUCGUAGAUAUUGGGAGGAACACCAGUGGCGUAAGCGGCCAACUAGACGAGUACUGACGCUCAAGCACGAAAGCGUGGGG
rnacentral:rRNA from 1 species